CCUAAAACCUAAAACCUAGGGAGCCUGUCCGGUCGCGCCGCCGCCGCCUCCCACCUCGGGAUCCCUCCAAACCCCAUCUGCCCAAUCCUCUCGCGCACCCACUUCCAACCAACCAACCCGUGCAGCUCCCCUCCGUUGUUCUAGACCUUCCGAUCCAAAUCGAAUGGUCCUCAUCGUCCCAAUUCAUCCCACCGAGGCCCUGGAUCCAGCUGUUCCGUAGCGGCCUCGAGCAGCCUCCCAUGCGUGAGCCCCGCAGGAGCUCAAACCCGAGUGGAACGAGCCAGCCCUCCCCGCUGGUGAUGAGCAGGUGCAGCUUCCGCAGCUCCGACGAGCCCUGCCGUCGGUGACUCCUUCAAGAACCCUCUCCUUCCCUUUCCCUCCUUCUCCCAUGGCCUCCCUUUUCCCCCAACUCCCUCACCUCUCCCUCCUCUUCAGGAACCCCACACUGCCGCCGCAGACCUAGCCAUGGACCCAUGGAUGCCGCCCUCUGCACCGCCGUCGCCAAGACCAUGGGCCACCGCAUCCGGAGAUGGCCGGAUCUGCCCCGGCCCGACGGCUUGCGCCUCCCUCCGCGUCCUCCCCAUCCCGCCGCUGCCGCGUCCGGCAUCCUCGUCUUCACGCCGACGCCUCUGUUGUUCUGCUAGACUGCUGCCUCCAGUCCCUGUUGCAGGUGCCGAUGAUACCAGCGCAGGUGGCACAACCGAGCUCAAAGUUUGGGAGCUCGAUGAAGAUCUUGUUCGUUGUGUUUUUUUGUUUCCUGUUGAUCAGUAGUGGAUCCCAGUUGGGACGAUCGGGGAUCUAGCAUUUGGGGUUGUCUUCUUCUAUUUUUGUUUCGUAAUCGGACCUUGUUUGUACUCUGGAUGAUGUAUGUUUAACUUGUA